rnacentral:rRNA from 1 species
GGUUAAGCGACUAAGCGUACACGGUGGAUGCCCUGGCAGUCAGAGGCGAUGAAGGACGUGCUAAUCUGCGAAAAGCGUCGGUAAGGUGAUAUGAACCGUUACAGCCGGCGAUGUCCGAAUGGGGAAACCCAGUGCAAUUCGUUGCACUAUCGUUAACUGAAUACAUAGGUUAACGAGGCGAACCGGGGGAACUGAAACAUCUAAGUACCCCGAGGAAAAGAAAUCAACCGAGAUUCCCCCAGUAGCGGCGAGCGAACGGGGAGCAGCCCAGAGUCUGAAUCAGCUUGUGUGUUAGUGGAACGGUCUGGAAAGUCCGACGGUACAGGGUGAUAGUCCCGUACACCAAAAUGCACAGGCUGUGAACUCGAAGAGUAGGGCGGGACACGUGGUAUCCUGUCUGAAUAUGGGGGGACCAUCCUCCAAGGCUAAAUACUCCUGACUGACCGAUAGUGAACCAGUACCGUGAGGGAAAGGCGAAAAGAACCCCGGCGAGGGGAGUGAAAAAGAACCUGAAACCGUGUACGUACAAGCAGUGGGAGCACCUUCGGGUGUGACUGCGUACCUUUUGUAUAAUGGGUCAGCGACUUAUAUUCUGUAGCAAGGUUAACCGUAUAGGGGAGCCGCAGGGAAACCGAGUCUUAACUGGGCGUUAAGUUGCAGGGUAUAGACCCGAAACCCGGUGAUCUAGCCAUGGGCAGGUUGAAGGUUGGGUAACACUAACUGGAGGACCGAACCGACUAAUGUUGAAAAAUUAGCGGAUGACUUGUGGCUGGGGGUGAAAGGCCAAUCAAACCGGGAGAUAGCUGGUUCUCCCCGAAAGCUAUUUAGGUAGCGCCUCGUGAAUUCAUCUUCGGGGGUAGAGCACUGUUUCGGCUAGGGGGUCAUCCCGACUUACCAACCCGAUGCAAACUACGAAUACCGAAGAAUGUUAUCACGGGAGACACACGGCGGGUGCUAACGUCCGUCGUGAAGAGGGAAACAACCCAGACCGCCAGCUAAGGUCCCAAAGUCACAGUUAAGUGGGAAACGAUGUGGGAAGGCACAGACAGCCAGGAUGUUGGCUUAGAAGCAGCCAUCAUUUAAAGAAAGCGUAAUAGCUCACUGGUCGAGUCGGCCUGCGCGGAAGAUGUAACGGGGCUAAACUGUGCACCGAAGCUGCGGCAGCGACACUAUGUGUUGUUGGGUAGGGGAGCGUUCUGUAAGCCUGCGAAGGUGGCCUGUGAGGGUUGCUGGAGGUAUCAGAAGUGCGAAUGCUGACAUAAGUAACGAUAAUGCGGGUGAAAAGCCCGCACGCCGGAAGACCAAGGGUUCCUGUCCAACGUUAAUCGGGGCAGGGUGAGUCGACCCCUAAGGCGAGGCCGAAAGGCGUAGUCGAUGGGAAACAGGUUAAUAUUCCUGUACUUGGUGUUACUGCGAAGGGGGGACGGAGAAGGCUAUGUUAGCCGGGCGACGGUUGUCCCGGUUUAAGCAUGUAGGCGGAGGUUCCAGGUAAAUCCGGUACCUUAUUAACGCUGAGGUGUGAUGACGAGGCACUACGGUGCUGAAGUAACAAAUGCCCUGCUUCCAGGAAAAGCCUCUAAGCAUCAGGUAACAUUAAAUCGUACCCCAAACCGACACAGGUGGUCAGGUAGAGAAUACCAAGGCGCUUGAGAGAACUCGGGUGAAGGAACUAGGCAAAAUGGUGCCGUAACUUCGGGAGAAGGCACGCUGAUAUGUAGGUGAAGCCCCUGCGGGUGGAGCUGAAAUCAGUCGAAGAUACCAGCUGGCUGCAACUGUUUAUUAAAAACACAGCACUGUGCAAACACGAAAGUGGACGUAUACGGUGUGACGCCUGCCCGGUGCCGGAAGGUUAAUUGAUGGGGUUAUCCGUAAGGAGAAGCUCUUGAUCGAAGCCCCGGUAAACGGCGGCCGUAACUAUAACGGUCCUAAGGUAGCGAAAUUCCUUGUCGGGUAAGUUCCGACCUGCACGAAUGGCGUAAUGAUGGCCAGGCUGUCUCCACCCGAGACUCAGUGAAAUUGAACUCGCUGUGAAGAUGCAGUGUACCCGCGGCAAGACGGAAAGACCCCGUGAACCUUUACUAUAGCUUGACACUGAACAUUGAGCCUUGAUGUGUAGGAUAGGUGGGAGGCUUUGAAGCGUGGACGCCAGUCUGCGUGGAGCCAACCUUGAAAUACCACCCUUUAAUGUUUGAUGUUCUAACGUUGGCCCCU